rnacentral:rRNA from 1 species
GACGAACGCUGGCGGCGUGCCUAAUACAUGCAAGUAGAACGCUGAAGAGAGGAGCUUGCUCUUCUUGAAUGAGUUGCGAACGGGUGAGUAACGCGUAGGUAACCUGCCUUGUAGCGGGGGAUAACUAUUGGAAACGAUAGCUAAUACCGCAUAACAAUGGGUGACACAUGUCAUUUAUUUGAAAGGGGCAAUUGCUCCACUACAAGAUGGACCUGCGUUGUAUUAGCUAGUAGGUGAGGUAACGGCUCACCUAGGCGACGAUACAUAGCCGACCUGAGAGGGUGAUCGGCCACACUGGGACUGAGACACGGCCCAGACUCCUACGGGAGGCAGCAGUAGGGAAUCUUCGGCAAUGGGGGCAACCCUGACCGAGCAACGCCGCGUGAGUGAAGAAGGUUUUCGGAUCGUAAAGCUCUGUUGUAAGUCAAGAAUGAGUGUGAGAGUGGAAAGUUCACACUGUGACGGUAGCUUACCAGAAAGGGACGGCUAACUACGUG